rnacentral:rRNA from 1 species
AGUGAACGCUGGCGGCAGGCCUAACACAUGCAAGUCGAACGGCAGCACAGGAGAGCUUGCUCUCUGGGUGGCGAGUGGCGGACGGGUGAGGAAUAUAUCGGAAUCUACCCUUUCGUGGGGGAUAACGUAGGGAAACUUACGCUAAUACCGCAUACGAACUGAGGUUGAAAGCGGCGGACCGCAAGGCGUCGCGCGGAUGGAUGAGCCGAUAUCCGAUUAGCUAGUUGGCGGGGUAAAAGCCCACCAAGGCGACGAUCGGUAGCUGGUCUGAGAGGAUGAUCAGCCACACUGGAACUGAGACACGGUCCAGACUCCUACGGGAGGCAGCAGUGGGGAAUAUUGGACAAUGAGCGCAAGCCUGAUCCAGCCAUGCCGCGUGUGUGAAGAAGGCCUUCGGGUUGUAAAGCACUUUUGUUGGGAAAGAAAAGCGGUCGGUUAAUACCCGGUCGUUCUGACGGUACCCAAAGAAUAAGCACCGGCUAACUUCGUGCCAGCCGCCGCAGUAA